rnacentral:tRNA from 1 species
GAGGGUAUAGCUCAAGUGGUAGAGCACAUGCUUAGCAUGCACGAGGUCCUGAGUUCAAGGCCCAGGACCUCCA